AACGAACGCUGGCGGCAUGCCUAACACAUGCAAGUCGAACGACACCAUAGGGACUGGUUGCUCACGCGUGCGUAACGCGUGGGACCCUGCCCUUAGGCUCGGAAUAACUCCCCGAAAUGGGUGCUAAUACCGGAUAAUGUCUUCGGACCCCAGAUUUAACUUCUUGGGAAGGGCCCGCGUUGUUUUAGCUAGUUGGGAGGGUAAAAGCCUACCAAGGAGACGAUCCAUAGCGGGGCUGAGAGGAACAUCAGCCACACUGGGAGUGAGACACGGCACAGACUCCUGCGGGAGGCAGCAGUGGGGAAUAUUGGACAAUCGGGUAAGUCCUGAUCCAGCACUGCCGCGUGAGUGAUGAAGUCCUGAGGGUUGUAAAGCUCUUUUACCCGGGAUGAUAAUGACAGUACCGGGAGAAUAAGCACCGGCUAACUCCGUG
rnacentral:rRNA from 1 species